rnacentral:rRNA from 1 species
CAGCCGCCGCGGUAAUACGGAGGAUCCAAGCGUUAUCCGGAAUCAUUGGGUUUAAAGGGUCCGUAGGCGGUCUUGUAAGUCAGUGGUGAAAGCCCAUCGCUCAACGGUGGAACGGCCAUUGAUACUGCAGGACUUGAAUUAUUGGGAAGUAACUAGAAUAUGUAGUGUAGCGGUGAAAUGCUUAGAGAUUACAUGGAAUACCAAUUGCGAAGGCAGGUUACUACCAAUUGAUUGACGCUGAUGGACGAAAGCGUGGGUAGCGAACAGGAUUAGAGACCCCGGUAGUCCCUGUCUCUUAUAC